rnacentral:lncRNA from 1 species
UUUUGCCCCUGAUUUCUUCACCAUAAAAUCCCUUGAUUUAUUCCACAUCAUUUCCAGGAUUGAAAGAAGUUGGUCCCCUCCACGUGGCAUGCUCCUAUUGGUUGCUCGGAUGGGUUAUAUGGACCAAUGGGGUUCUUUCUCUCUCCUUUGACUUUAGUUGACUUUGACAUCUGAGUUGACCAUUUCCAAAAGUUGAGGAAAUGUGUAAAACAUUCCUUUGAACUCCUUUCCCAUGUUUGCACAACUCCUUUUGGCUUUCUUUGCCCUCAACUAGCUUGUUUCGACCAUAUAGGCCAAAACCGUCUUCCUCCAGACCAUCUUGGUCUUCCUCCGGACCAUCUUGGUCUUCCUCCGGACCAUCUUGGUCUUCCUCCGGACCAUCUUGGUCUUCCUCCGGACCAUCUUGGUCUUCCUCCGGACCAUCUUGGUCUUCCUCCGGACCAUCUUGGUUUUGUCUUGACCAAACUCUCAAAUAUGUAUUCAAAUACCUUAAAUAAGGUUCCUAGAUUGACUCCCUAACUCCUGGAUUCAUAGUAGCCACCUUCGUCUUCUGACCGUUACCAAACCUCUGCAUAGACCAUCUUUGAAACCUCUACCGACCAUCUCCUUAUGGGCCCAUCCAAACUUGAUUCUGAUUCGAC